rnacentral:pre_miRNA from 1 species
CGUGCCGCUCGCCAAUUUUAUUAAAUAUUCUAGGUGCUUUGAAACAAUAGAAGAUUUAAUAAGAUUGGGGAGUUGCUCG